GCUCGCGUUUUCACACAAAAACCCCAAUUACAGUAUAGAAUGUUUUCUUUUUAGUUUGCGGUCACACGCAAUCAAUACAACUUUCAACAACGGAUCUCUUGGCUCUCGCAUCGAUGAAGAACGCAGCGAAAUGCGAUACGUAAUGUGAAUUGCAGAAUUCAGUGAAUCAUCGAAUCUUUGAACGCACCUUGCGCCCCUUGGCAUUCCGAGGGGCACACCCGUUUGAGUGUCGUGAAAUCAUCAAAAUCCUUUUUCUUUUUGAAAAGGGGUUUUGGACUUGGAGGUUUGAUGCUCGCUUUCACUGUCGAAAGUGAGCUCCUCUCAAAUGAAUCAGUGGGGUUUGCUUUGCCGAUCCUUGACGUGAUAAGAUGUUUCUACGUUUUGGACUUGGCACUGUGCCCGCUUCUAACCGUCUCAUGGACAACGAUGGUGCUUC
rnacentral:rRNA from 1 species